rnacentral:rRNA from 1 species
AGAGUUUGAUCAUGGCUCAGGACGAACGCUGGCGGCGUGCUUAACACAUGCAAGUCGAACGGAAAGGCCCUGCUUUGUGGGGUGCUCGAGUGGCGAACGGGUGAGUAACACGUGAGUAACCUGCCCUUGACUUUGGGAUAACUUCAGGAAACUGGGGCUAAUACCGGAUAGGAGCUCCUGCUGCAUGGUGGGGGUUGGAAAGUUUCGGCGGUUGGGGAUGGACUCGCGGCUUAUCAGCUUGUUGGUGGGGUAGUGGCUUACCAAGGCUUUGACGGGUAGCCGGCCUGAGAGGGUGACCGGCCACAUUGGGACUGAGAUACGGCCCAGACUCCUACGGGAGGCAGCAGUGGGGAAUAUUGCACAAUGGGCGGAAGCCUGAUGCAGCAACGCCGCGUGCGGGAUGACGGCCUUCGGGUUGUAAACCGCUUUCGCCUGUGACGAAGCGUGAGUGACGGUAAUGGGUAAAGAAGCACCGGCUAACUACGUG